CACCCCUGGCAAUGGGCAAAGAGAUACCUUGAUGGUGGUGGUAUUCUUAUAUCAGUCAGGGACAGAGCAGAUGGCAGUCUUUUGUUUAUACUAGCUUGAUGCCUGCCUUGGCAGCCAAAGCUGUUUUAUGCCUACAACACAUAA